AAAGCAGCGUUCUCCCUCUCUCCCUAAUUAGUAGCUGUUAGCAUCUGGAGUUGACUGUUGGUGGAUGUAAUUUGCUGCCCUCCAUCAUGUGAUGGUGCAAGGAUCAGUGAAAGGUGAUGCAAGGACCAGUCAAGAGAAAAUGAAAAUUGCCUGUUGAAAACAAAAUUCCCAUGGUAGAUCUCAGUGAAAUCUUUCCACUUCUAUGAGUGAUCCAAAUCCCUUGGAAAGGGGAGGUUUCAGCCUCAUUUUUUACUGGAAAGAUUUGCUGGAGGGAAUUGUGGACUUUGGUGAAGAAGAAGUUGAACUUGAUUCAGCAGUGAGCCCUCAAAAACCAGCCAUGCACAGGCUGUAGUAGCAAGGGAAGGGAAGCUGUUGUCUCCCCACACUUAGUACCAGUGGGACCACAGCUAAGUCCUGGAUCCUGCUUUACAGUCUCAAGUACGAGAAAGAUGCUGACAGGAAGGAGAGCAUUGUGGAGAGAGGUAAUACCAGGCACCAAGAUCAGCUCAUGCAUUUUACCCUUAGCCCCUCUAACUUUGCCGUCAGUAGCACACAUUUCUUCAGACAUUUUCACAGCUGGAAGAACAGUGUGCUCCCCAAUAUGCUGUAGGGGUCACCAUGAAAAAGAGAUUCUAAAUAGCUACCAACAAAUCUAAGAAAACUUCAUCACUUGGACUGAAAACUUAAAAUACCUAUUGAUUUCCACCACAGCUUCAUUAAUCACUUUCUGUAAAACACUAAUUUCCUGGUCACAAGCAGCAGCAUAAAGAACAGAUGGAAUACACACAAAACCAAGACCAGUGCACCCACCUCUGCAAUAAUUUAUCCACCAAUCAAUAACUUAAAACAAAAAUGUUGGGGUAUGCACUCAGAACCUGAAAUGCAGUGUAUUAGCUUUGAGGAAAUAUUACAUCUACCCAACCCACCCUUUCUCCAGAGCUCCAAAAAAAGGAUCAUAGCCUGUAAGGCAAUUCUGUGAAAAUGUACCCCACAUGUAAGCAAACCACAACACUACCAUAUACAAAGUGUCUUUAUUUAAAAAAAUCCCCUCGAUUGUAUGCAGCUACCUGUGUUACACCCCAGCCUUGAAAAUAACUCUGAAUUCUCAUCCACACUUGAAGAAAGUUGGCAUCUAUUUCCUUUAUUGGAAAAUAAAUUGGCAGCACAUUCCCUCUCACACUCUCUACCCCCUCCAGUCUCCCUCAGUUCAUUGCCCAAAGAAAAUUUCCUGAAGUUCAACAUGCACCAGUGGUUCAGGGCAUUGUUCAGCAUGACUGGGAAAUUUGGCAGGAGGUCCACUUGGCUAAGCAAGGAGCUUCUUAAUGAACUAAAAUGCAAAGCACAUAAGAAGUGAAAACAAGGGCAAACAACAAAGGAAAAGUAUAAAAGUACUGCUCAGACGUGUUGGGACAAAACCAGAAAGACUAAAGCCCAGCUGGAUUUAAGACUGGACAGGAACAUAAAAACUAACAAGAUGUGAUUUUACAAGCAUGUCAGAAGUGAAAAGAAACUCAGAGAAAGAGUGAGUCCAUUUCUGAAUGGAAGAAAACCUAGUGAUGGAAAGUAUGGAAAAGGCUGCUCAAUGGCUGUUUGUCAGGGAAAACCUGCUCCCAGAUGUCUGCACCCACCAAUGCUAUAUGGGAAGUCAACAGUGUAUUAAAAUCUGUAGGUCUGGAUGGGACUCCUCAGCAGGUGCUGAAAGAUAUGGCCGAUAUGCUUGUGAGGCUUGUGAUAAUUUUUGAAAAAGUUUUUGGGGAGGAUCCCAGAUGACUGGGCUGAUGUCACCCCCAGCUUUAAGAAAGGCAAGAAGCAGGAUCUAGAUAACUGCAGGCUGAUCAGCCUCACUUCAAUCCUUAGAAAAAUAACAGAGCACAUCCAUUUCUGAACACAGCAAUGACAGGUAGCAAUGAGGAGCAAUCAACAGAUUUAUCAGAGCAAAUCACAGCUCUG